rnacentral:lncRNA from 1 species
AAAUUCAAAGCCCUUCCCAACCUCUUGAUUCCUAAUCAUCUCUGUCUCCGACCAGCUACAAAAUCGGUGAAGAAGAAGAAGUGUUAACCGUAAAAUCGAAUAUUUGUCAACAUCGAAAUAGUUCGAACGAAAUAGUCCGGACGUUGCUCCAAUCUUCCACCGCCGCGAAGCGAUCAUCAUGCCCAACCGAAGGAGACGCCUC